AUAGAUAGUAUUAAGAAAUACAUGUCAUUUUUCUGCUAUAAAACCCCAGACUUUGCAGCUUUGUCAAACACAUCAUUUCACUGAGUAAACAGCAGGUUAGAGCAAAGCACAGGCGGGUUUUCCUGUUAGUGUCUAAACAAAAGGAAGGAAAUGCACAGAUACAGUGUGCUGGCUUGCGUCUGCCAUUGUUUUGUGAUUCCUCGUUAAUAUAUCAGAGUUUUAAUACUGUACCUCCAAGCUGUUUUGAUUCAUUCAUAAAUCCACUGUGCUGAAGUAAAGAAUUCAAGUGUUCCGUGUCCACUCCGUGUACGUUUUUAGUCUUGUUGUUGGUCUGUGCGAGAGCGACUACAGCAGCAUUAGCUCUGCUCUGAGCAUUGUCUCAGUAUUUACUCAUAGCAGAGGUAAAUGUCAGGCAGGUGGAGGAACCCACGCGUCACAUCAGCGUUCACGCUGACUCACUCCUUUAUCAAAGAUUCAGUAAGUACACACACACACACACAUGCAGGAGCAAUGAUGUUGUUCUCAUUAUGAUAAAUACUGCAGGGUCUUUUUUAUCUGCAUGUUCAAAUGUAAAUGGAAUUGAUUUUCUUACUUUUUGGACCUAAAAUCUCCUAAAAAACCUAAAAACGCAAGUAAAGCAAAUAUCACAGUGAGCAGGUUUGACAGGUUUAUCGAAUGUGUACAAUGAUCACAUGAUCACGUGGAUUUUUAUACAUACUGUACAUGGGUAUUAGUUUUUUAUUACACCUUAAUACCUUGUGUUAUACAGUAUUUCUUUGACAAAUUACAACACGAUGUCAUAGAGGGAACGCCAAAAUAAACACAAUUAAAUUUAAUUAAAUUUGUGUUUAUUUUAGGAGCUGUCAGCACGUUGGCUGGGAAAUUUAACAAUGUAAUAAAUUUGAAUUGAUGGUUUGUUUUUAAUACAAAAAAAUGCAUUUCUUUUAAGAUUCCACUGCUGCUCCCCGAGGCAGCUUUUGAGCAAACCAGCACCAACAGCACCCGCUUAAACUGAAGGCAGUGGAUUUAAGAGAGCUGAUGUUUUGCAUGAGCAGAGCAGUGGGAAGACUCGGACGUGCCACACCUGAUGUGAACCUCAGCGGUUAUGCUUGUGAAAACACAGUGAUCAGGUGAAAGAAACAGGAAGUCCUGGUUAGAAGACACAAGUGACCUUCUCGUAAUAUAAGGACACUCAAGGAUGUGAGUGAUGUCUGCUCUCCACUGUCCGCACACACGACGGCGAUAAGACGAUUUGUUUUUUCAGUUUAACGGGGGGAAGAGUGAUUCAGUGCCAGCGUGGAUAUCAUUCACCGCUCCACAAACACACGAGUCCAGCCUUGCUCUGCGGGUCAGAGAGCAGUGACCUGGGAUGGGUGAGAUUCAAGUGCCUUGCUUAAGGGCACACAAACAAACAGACUGGGGUUUGUGGGUGUGUUUCACUUUCACAACAGCCUGCACUUAAACUGUAAAAUACUGAUGUCUGGCAGAAGUGUUGCAACAGAGCAGGCACAGCGGCCUCAGAUGGGGCCUCCAGGUAAAUAACGCUUUAAAAUUUCACAACCUUCUACGUACAGGAGACCACAAUUUCAGAAUGGCACGGGAUCGAUCAAGAAUUCAUCCGAAGGUUUCCAACAAUUUCAUUUGAAAACAGCGUUUUCUAGUCUGGCCAACACCAGACCGCUCAGUCGAUGGUUCAGACGGUUUGGUUUUUUUCUGUGUUUCCAUUAGGAAAAUUACCAAAAGAACCAGUUCUUACUGUUGAAUUUUUUGGGCACCCUUCCCCUUGGGGUACCAGAGUGAAAUGGUACAGUACAAUCAGCAAAAAUGUCACUCCCUUGCGACCCAGCCCGUUUGUGAUUGGAUCUCUUUUUUCAUUUCAAGUAAUCUGGACCCACCAUACCUGACUAUUCAGGCACAUGGCUUUGUAAAGGGGAAGCUGCUUUUCUUCCUCAGCAGUUGGUUGAUUAGUUUUACUAAGUGCUGCUAACGAGAAACAACAAUGAUAAAAGAACAAAGACUUCUAGUCAAAGAGGUGAAACUGAAACUGGAAGCAAGUGUUUUACAGGUUUUCACCACAGUAGUGUGGAUGUAGUAAGACCCCUCACCCCUUUUUUACCUGGGGUCAACAAAUUCUCUUGAAACGCCUCUGAUACCAUAAAAUAACAAUGUUAGAACAAAUGUCUGGACCUCACACGUCUAUUCAGGUAAACUGAGUUUUGUUUGUUUUCUUCUUAUAAAUAAUAUAAUAACAAUGUUAUUACAAAGUUUGAAACGUUUCGUUUUUCAACCUGGACACAACGGCAGAUCCACAGAUGCAACAGUCUGCGUGUUUGAAUUUCAAAAAAUGCUGGGGGGCAAAAUAUUUGCGCUCACUUUCCCGUCACUUUGGUGUAAAAUGGUUUGAGGAAACCAAUGUUUUAUCGUAUUAAAGAGAUGUAUUUACAUAUGUAAUUAGUGUUGAGCUUAAAUUAGUUGUUAAUACUUUUGUGGUG